UAGGAAUAUUGCGCAAUGGGGGAAACCCUGACGCAGCAACACUGCGUGAAUGAUGAAGGCCUUAGGGUUGUAAAAUUCUUUUAGUAGGGAAGAAAAAAAUGACGGUACCUACAGAAAAAGCACCGGCAAACUUCGUGCCAGCAGCCGCGGUAAUACGAAGGGUGCAAGCGUUACUCGGAUUUACUGGGCGUAAAGCGUCCGCAGGCUGUUUAGUCAGUUUGAUGUGAAAGUCCACUGCUCAAAGGUGGAAGUGCAUUGAAUACUGCUAAACUAGAAUUAUGGAGAGGUGAAGGGAAUUCCUGGUGUAGAGGUGAAAUUCGUAGAUAUCAGGAGGAACAUCGGAGGCGAAGGCGCUUCACUGGACAUAUAUUGACGCUCAUGGACGAAAGUGUGGGGAGCGAACAGGAUUAGAUACCCUGGUAGUCCACACCGUAAACUUUGGAUACUAGAUGUCGGGGACCUAUCGCCUCGGUGUCGUAGCUAACGCGUUAAGUAUCCCGCCUGGGUAGUACGGUCGCAAGACUAAAACUCAAAGAAAUUGACGGGGACCCGCACAAGCGGUGGAUGAUGUUGUUUAA
rnacentral:rRNA from 1 species